rnacentral:lncRNA from 1 species
CAUCCCCCAGCCUCUGGCUUCUUGUCUGACCAUGAGCUCUCUCAUGUGUUCCUCGUACAUGUUAUCAUGCCACCCACUCCUUCCUCACUAGCACCAAGUCAAGGCCGGCACCGUGCCUUCAAACCUCCACAGAUUUGACCUAAACACACUUUUUCUCUCCAUAAAAUUACCCUGCCUCAGGCCUGUCAUCGUAACGAAACCUGACUGACACGGGGCUGUUUGUUAAGAAGCAACAUAAAUUCUUUUGGAAGCUAGGAAUGUCAGCAUUAAAUACUAGCAUAUCAGAAGUGAGACACAUCAAAUCUCCUAACCACAGGCAUUUGAUAACAACAGCAAGAACAAACGCCUGUUGCCAGCCAAUGAUUUGUAAAGUAAAAGUUAUUAAUUGUGUGGUCACCCCCACAAAGGGCAUUUCACCUUACAUACAGCCCUUCAUUUUAUACAGGAGGUAUUUUAGCGAAGAAUCUUCAGUUCUCAUUCAACCUCUUGUGACAACUUUAGAUUUUUAUAACUGGCUUCCAUUCUCCAAAAAGACACUGACUCUCUCAGAGUUGUCCCGUCUAUGCUCAUCCAUCGGAGCGUCAGUUCUUACGAACGUACAAAGCUGAGUGAGAUGCCACCACAUCCCUGCCUUAAGAGGAGCCGGUCCGAAAGAAGAGUCCAUCAGUGAUGUGUUUUGAAAAUGGAUU